rnacentral:rRNA from 1 species
AACCUGCCCAAGAGAUCGGGAUAACACCUGGAAACAGAUGCUAAUACCGGAUAACAACAGAUGAUGCCUAUCAACUGUUUAAAGGAUGGUUCUGCUAUCGCUCUUGGAUGGACCUGCGGUGCAUUAGCUAGUUGGUAGGGUAACGGCCUACCAAGGCGAUGAUGCAUAGCCGAGUUGAGAGACUGAUCGGCCACAUUGGGACUGAGACACGGCCCAAACUCCUACGGGAGGCAGCAGCC